UUGACAGCACAGGCCACUGAAGUCCUCUGUAUAUCCGCAGGGCAGGCAUGGUACAGAGAGCUUCCUUGCACAGCCUUGCCCAUGAGCUCGUCCCUGGCCUGGAGGGACCCACUCUAGAGGUGGUAAGUAAUCCAGUCUUUCUGCUAGCUCCGUCCUGGGCCGCU
rnacentral:sRNA from 1 species